AGCCUAUCCCCCCCUCAGGGGCGGGGCCGUACGAUGGGAGUUAACAAUGACUUUUGGCUCCUCUCAGAUAGCAGGCUACCUACCUCAAAUUAUUUUGGGAAAAGAUGCACAUACCAAACAUAAACAAAGCUCUCUAUAGGCCCCACGAAGAAGGGACCAUAUAUUCCCAUAUACCUAGCAUGGAACUAUCUAUGUACUCUUCACAAAAGCUUGCCUAAUUGAGGUAAGAGGAGAGCCCCCAAACACUCCUGGAGUUGUCAAGUCAUUGAAAGCAAAUUUGAAGGCUAACUACAGCUAUCUGCACAUAUUGGAGGGGUGACAGGAAUGAAAAACUUCAAGAAAAGCCAGAUGUAUCUCCAAGAUUUGUGUUAGGAGCUCCAGCAGUGCACGCCAACGGUCCCCUGAGCUUGCCCAAGGGUAGAAGGGGGCCCCCACCAGGGUAAGAGCUGAAGUAAAGAAGGGAAGACUCCAGCAAAGCACGUGGUGUGGAAGCUGGUGUCAGGGACAGUAGUGGAAAAGGGAGCCAACGAUCCACAUGGGGACCCAGCAACACGUGCUGGUUGGGCUCCUGACGCCCCAGAGACGCUACAAGACAGAGGGGCGCUUCUGUCGCCAACAGCUGGGCCCUUCCUUUUCGAGGUGGCCUCGCCGCUGCCAGAAUCAGAGGAAACAGAAAUCCUGACUGAGGA